CGUAGGUGGCAAGCGUUGUCCGGAUUUAUUGGGUUUAAAGGGUGCGUAGGCGGCUUUGUAAGUCAGUGGUGAAAUACUCCAGCUCAACUGGAGAGGUGCCAUUGAUACUGCAGAGCUAGAGUACUGAUGAGGUAGGCGGAAUGGACGGUGUAGCGGUGAAAUGCUUAGAUAUCGUCCAGAACACCGAUAGCGAAGGCAGCUUACUAAAGAGUAACUGACGCUGAGGCACGAAAGUGUGGGGAUCAAACAGGAUUAGAUACCCUGGUAGUCCACACUGUAAACGUUGAUCACUAGAUGUUGGCGAUACACUGCCAGCGUUCCAGCAAAAAGCGAUAAGUGAUCCACCUGGGGAGUACGCCCGCAAGGGUG
rnacentral:rRNA from 1 species